CUGGCUUCUCGGGAUGAGGCACACACCACAUCCAGAUUCCCUUGGUGUGAGACUGCACUGUGGAGCCCAGAGAGAAGCCUGCAAGGGAUGCUGACACUGUGCGUGGACAGAAGGGACUCGGCAGAGCUUUGCUGGGCACUCACCCUUUUUCUGCCCAGCCAGCUUGUUCAUCAGAGCGGAAAUUCAACACUGGGAGAAGCGAGUGGGGAAGACCAGAGGCUACCAACCCUGUCCAGUGGAAGGAGCAGUGGCUCAGAGAUGUUACGCAGGAGAGACACAGUCCAUAAAAACCGAGAGUUUCUGAAGUUCUCCCCAAAAGAACUGACUUGAUUUGAAGCAGCGUGUGAGGACGUUCAAGCAUAGAGACUUGAAAAUUUAUUGCUAGCAGGGCCUAUAACAUAUAGAAGUGCAAUAAACUUAGAAGAAACAGCACAGAGGAGGUAGGUCUGAGCAAAGCUGUAUUGGAAUAAAGAAGUAACACCAGCUGUCGACUUGAACCC